rnacentral:rRNA from 1 species
AGUGAACGCUGGCGGUAGGCCUAACACAUGCAAGUCGAACGGCAGCACAGUAAGAGCUUGCUCUUACGGGUGGCGAGUGGCGGACGGGUGAGGAAUACAUCGGAAUCUACUUUUUCGGGGGGGAUAACGUAGGGAAACUUACGCUAAUACCGCAUACGCCCUACGGGUGAAAGCAGGGGAACUUCGGACCUUGCGGGAUUGAAUGAGCCGAUGUCGGAUUAGCUAGUUGGGGGGGUAAAGGCCCACCAAGGCGAGGAUCCGUGGCUGGGCUGGGGGGAGGGUCAGCCACACUGGAACUGAGACACGGUCCAGAGUCCUACGGGAGGCAGCAGUGGGCAAUAUUGGACAAUGGUCGCAAGCCUUAUCCAGCCAUACCGCGUGGGUGAAGAAGGCCUUCGGGUUGUAAAGCCCUUUUGUUGGGAAAGAAAAGCAGCAGGUUAAUACCCCGCUGUUCUGACGGUACCCAAAGAAUAAGCACCGGCUAACUUCGUG